UUCAAUAUCAUGAUUCCUUCUGUCUACUUUUUCUGUCUCCCAGGUAGGAGAGUUAAAGUGUCUGCUGCUGAGCUGGAAGAGUUUACAAAGCAGGCAGAGUGUCUGAACCUACAACCACCUGCUAUCUUGGAUUCAGAAAAAGGGUUUUGCCCAGAUCCAGAGCUCAGCCCAGGAACAAAGACUAUUGAUCUGACCUUGAGCAAAGAUAACGCCCGAUGAUCUCAACCUAUUUGAUAAGUUUUUCACUGAGAGUGGAAUGAAGACCAUUUUAGACAUGGUCCAAAGUAGUCUAUUCAAGGAAGACUGAAGUAGUCAUAAAUGUCACUAAGCCAUUCUUCUCUGACCUCUGGCGUUAACACAUUUUCUAAAUCUAAAGCCUACUUGAUCUCUUUGUCUGACCACUCUCUGUAAACCCUAGAUACUUGCUAUGUUAAAUGUUACUCAAAUCAACUGUCUUACCCAUUCUGAUGUUCCGAUUUGAGCUUCAGCAGGUUAUCUUGCGUCUUCAUGCUUAAAUAAACGGAGUUGCUGUCAUUUGAUUGGCUGAUUAGAAUGAAAGAGCAGGCGGACAGGUGUACCUUACAAAGAUGCCUGUCAGCGCUUAUUAUCUAGCAAAUAAUAGCAGCCAAGGAAGCAGUUAAUAAAAAAAUGAGUUGAAAAGAA